rnacentral:lncRNA from 1 species
GCUCAUAAAUAAAGAUCCACAAGGACCCCCAAGAUAUGAAAAAACUUUUCUCUUUAAGCACUCACUUCUUUCUAUCUGUUUCAGAGAUCUGACUUGAAUGUGAGAGUCUCUGUUGGAGCCAACUCCAAUCGGAAACUUAUCUUACAGAUCUUAUGACCAUCAUUUUGCGGUCGCGAUCCAACUCCAGCCAAUCUAAUCCAAGAUAAAUUUCUGCCACAAUAUAAGGUAAUGAAGUCAAUCAUGCCAAACUGGUUCCUCCUCGAUUAGUAACGGGGUCAGCUGAAUUAUCCUCCGCAUCAAAUAUCUUUUUCCUAAAUAAUAAUGUUGUUAUGGUGGUCUUGUUGUAUUUAUAGCAACUUGUUGUGUUGAAUUCAAUUCUCUACCUUUAUAUCGCGGUGGGCGUAGUGCAUUAACCCUUUUUUAUCUACUUUCUCGUCUUGAACGUUGUUGGUGCAUCAAAGUAUAUGUCCAUGGUUUGCUGGAGUAUAUAUUCUUUCAUUGUGUUGUACGAACGCUUGCCGUCCAAGACCUGUGAUGGCUGCCAUAAGCGAAAAAUGUGACAGGAAUUAGUGUUAUUUAAUUCGGCCGCUGUUCAUUUUUCCAGAAAAUAUCUCUAGGAGUUCGUUGAAGCACUUCUAUUGUCUAUACUUUGUCCAUG